rnacentral:misc_RNA from 1 species
UCCGGCUUAUCACCGGCAGUUUCUUUAGAGUGCCCAACUAAAUGGUGGCAACUAAAGACGAGGGUUGCGCUCGUUGCGGGACUUAACCCAACAUCUCACGACACUAGCUGACGACAGACAUGCAGCACCUCGACUAAUGUCCCUUGCAGGAAAAGAAACUUUCAUCUCCGGUCACCUACAUGUCAAGCCCAGGUAAGGUUCUUCGCGUUGCGUCGAAUUAAACCACAUGCUCCGCUGCUUGUGCGGGCCCCCGUCAAUUCCUUUGAGUUUUAGCCUUGCGGCCGUACUCCCCAGGCGGGGCACUUAGUGCGUUAGCGACGGCACGGGAGGAGUCGACACCUCCCACACCUAGUGCCCAUCGUUUACGGCGUGGACUAC